CACUUUAGCAUUUGUCAUGUGUCU
rnacentral:siRNA from 1 species